rnacentral:rRNA from 1 species
AGCCGCCGCGGUAAUACCUGCAGCUCAAGUGGUGACCGCUAUUAUUGGGCCUAAAACGUUCGUAGCCGGUUUGGUAAAUGCCUGGGUAAAUAGUGUAGCUUAACUAUACGAAUUCCGGGUAGACUGCCAAACUUGAGACCGGGAGAGGCUAGAGGUACUCCUGGGGUAGAGGUGAAAUUCUGUAAUCCUGGGGGGACCACCAGUGGCGAAGGCGUCUAGCUAGAACGGGUCUGACGGUGAGGUACGAAGCCCUGGGGCGCAAACCGGAUUAGAUACCCGGGUAGUCCAGGGUGUAAACGCUGCUUGCUUGAUGUUAGUUGGGCUCUGAGCCCGAUUAGUGUCGGAGAGAAGUUGUUAAGCAAGCUGCCUGGGAAGUACGGUCGCAAGGCUGAAACUUAAAGGAAUUGGCGGGGGAGCACAGCAACGGGUGGAGCGUGCGGUUUAAUUGGAUUCAACGCCGGAAAACUCACCGGAGGCGACGGUUACAUGAAGGCCAGGCUGAUGACCUUGCCUGAUUUUCCGAGAAGUGGUGCAUGGCCGCCGUCAGUUCGUACCGUAAGGCGUUCUGUUAAGUCAGACAACGAACGAGACCCUCAUCUUUAAUUGCUACUGGUAAGUCCGCUUAUCAGGCACAUUAGAGAAACCGCUGGCGAUAAGUCAGAGGAAGGUGAGGGCAACGGUAGGUCAGUAUGCCCUGAAUCCUCCGGGCUACACGCGCGCUACAAAGGCCAGGACAAUGGGUUUCAACACUGAAAAGUGAAGGUAAUCUCGAAACCUGGUCAUAGUUCGGAUUGAGGGUUGAAACUCAUCCUCAUGAAGCUGGAAUCCGUAGUAAUCGCGGAUCAACAUCCCGCGGUGAAUAUGCCCCUGCUCCU